rnacentral:rRNA from 1 species
CAUCCAGAGAACUUAGCAGAGAUGCUUUGGUGCCUUCGGGAACUCUGAGACAGGUGCUGCAUGGCUGUCGUCAGCUCGUGUUGUGAAAUGUUGGUUAAGUCCCGNAACGAGCGCAACCCUUAUCCUUUGUUGCCAGCGGCUCGGCCGGGAACUCAAAGGGGACUGCCGGUGAUAAACCGGAGGAAGGUGGGGAUGACGUCAAGUCAUCAUGGCCCUUACGGCCAGGGCUACACACGUGCUACAAUGGCGCAUACAAAGAGAAGCGACCUCGCGAGAGCAAGCGGACCUCACAAAGUGCGUCGUAGUCCGGAUUGGAGUCUGCAACUCGACUCCAUGAAGUCGGAAUCGCUAGUAAUCGUAGAUCAGAAUGCUACGGUGAAUACGUUCCCGGGCCUUGUACACACCGCCCGUCACACCAUGGGAGUGGGUUGCAAAAGAAGUAGGUAGCUUAACCUUCGGGAGGGCGCUUACCACUUUGUGAUUCAUGACUGGGGUGAAGUCGUAACAAGGUAGGCGUAGCGAG